rnacentral:rRNA from 1 species
UCCUACGGGAGGCAGCAGUGGGGAAUAUUGCACAAUGGGCGCAAGCCUGAUGCAGCCAUGCCGCGUGUGUGAAGAAGGCCUUCGGGUUGUAAAGCACUUUCAGUCAGGAGGAAAGGUUAGUAGUUAAUACCUGCUAGCUGUGACGUUACUGACAGAAGAAGCACCGGCUAACUCCGUGCCAGCAGCCGCGGUAAUACGGAGGGUGCGAGCGUUAAUCGGAAUUACUGGGCGUAAAGCGUACGCAGGCGGUUUGUUAAGCGAGAUGUGAAAGCCCCGGGCUCAACCUGGGAACUGCAUUUCGAACUGGCAAACUAGAGUGUGAUAGAGGGUGGUAGAAUUUCAGGUGUAGCGGUGAAAUGCGUAGAGAUCUGAAGGAAUACCGAUGGCGAAGGCAGCCACCUGGGUCAACACUGACGCUCAUGUACGAAAGCGUGGGGAGCAAACAGGAUUAGAUACCCUGGUAGUCCACGCCGUAAACGAUGUCUACUAGAAGCUCGGAACCUCGGUUCUGUUUUUCAAAGCUAACGCAAUUAAGUAGA